rnacentral:rRNA from 1 species
UACGUAGGGUCCGAGCGUUUGUCCGGAAUUAUUGGGCGUAAAGGGCUCGUAGGCGGUUCGUCACGUCGGGGAGUGAAAACUCGGGGCUUAACCCCGAGCCUGCUUCCGAUACGGGCAGACUAGAGGUAGGCAGGGGAGAGCGGAACUCCUGGUGUAGCGGUGGAAUGCGCAGAUAUCAGGAAGAACACCGGUGGCGAAGGCGGCUCUCUGGGCCUUACCUGACGCUGAGGAGCGAAAGCGUGGGGAGCGAACAGG